rnacentral:rRNA from 1 species
AUACGAAGGGUGCAAGCGUUAAUCGGAAUUACUGGGCGUAAAGCGCGCGUAGGUGGUUCGUUAAGUUGGAUGUGAAAGCCCCGGGCUCAACCUGGGAACUGCAUCCAAAACUGGCGAGCUAGAGUAUAGCAGAGGGUGGUGGAAUUUCCUGUGUAGCGGUGAAAUGCGUAGAUAUAGGAAGGAACACCAGUGGCGAAGGCGACCACCUGGGCUAAUACUGACACUGAGGUGCGAAAGCGUGGGGAGCAAACAGGAUUAGAUCCCCUGGUAGUCCACGCCGUAAACGAUGUCGACUAGCCGUUGGGAUCCUUGAGAUCUUAGUGGCGCAGCUAACGCAUUAAGUCGACCGCCUGGGGAGUACGGCCGCAAGGUUAAAACAGGAC